rnacentral:lncRNA from 1 species
AUAUUGCAGAGCAACUUGAAAGGGGGAGCUGGCCGCGUAGGAGGUGAGAGCCAGCCGCAAAAAUCCGUUCGGCGGCAUUUUCUCUUCAAACCCGCCCGGUCGGAUGUGGCAUUUGAAGAAAGAAGGCGUGGGUCAAUAAUCAACCCGCACUUUCUCCUCCAAACUGCUGACGCGACUCUCACCGCCUUCUCAGCUAAGCCAGCUGCCGGGAAGGCCAGCUCUCCGAAAAGGAAACGCCAAGACAUAGAAAACCACGCUUUUCCCGUAGGAAGAACCGAUGAUGAGCCCUGAUGAAAGAAGGAAGAAGACCCGCUGUCUGCGAAGGCCUAAAGGUUAGAAAUACAGCAAUUUUUCUCAUGCCGAAGGAAAGGCAAAAUGGUCUAAGAAACUGCAAGAGUGUGAUACAAGUUUUCCUCAACAGCGAGCUGGGACUGGCGACAAUUUCUUAACUCACAGCCUCCGCAGUCGCCUUAGUCGAC